AACUGGUUUGAUGAAGCGAACAGUUGGAGGGUGAGAAACGGUUGGUGCCAAAGAAGCAUUUCCCAGUCUCGUCUUGCAAUGCCAAUUAGUGUUGCAGGGAGAGAGUUGUCUAGAAGAUGGAUGAAUAGUGCUGUCAAACUGAGAGCAGAUGCCAGGCUGUGUGUGUGUGUGUGUGUGCGCUCGCUCUUGCGUCUGUGGGUCUCGCAGCAACUUUGCCAUCUUGAGGUCCUGUUACGCUGAUGGCAUCUAGAAGGCAUUCUUAUCCAGAGCGACAUACAACACACCCAGUGCAGCAGAUGCCUUACUCAAGGGCACUUCAGCCAUUCCUGUUGGUCCAGGGAAUUGAACCAGCAACCUUUUGGUCCCAAAGCUGCUUCUCUAACCAUUAGGCUGCAUGCCUUACCAGAUGGCAGUAGGUACCAUUUUUAUGAUGGUCUUUGGUAUGACCCAACCCCAAGUAGAACUCAUGAUCUCCCAGUCAAGAGGCAGACACGCUAACCAUGAAGCCAGCUCAUGACCAUGCAUGACCGACGCGUCGGACAGAGGGCUGGGGGCGGUGUUGUCCCAGGAGGUGGAGGGGGAGGACCGCCCCAUCCUGUACAUUAGCAGGAAGCUGUCAGUG